CUCCUCCUCUCUCUCUUUAUUCUGUUAUUUCUUUAUUUUUAACUCAAUUUUAUACCUUUUGAACCAUCGAAACCUACUGUCAUUGACCAAGAUCUACCAUAUUCGUUGAUCAUUGGUGAGCCUCUUUCCCUCACCCUCUUUUAUUUUUCUUCGAAUGGAGUCGAUCCCUCCAAUUUUCAAUCGAUUUAAUACCUAGUUCUAGAGAUAUUUUCUUUUAGAUUCGUCCAUUCUUAUUGGCCGCCACCACCAU
rnacentral:lncRNA from 1 species